GUGCCAGCCGCCGCGGUAAUACGUAGGGGGCAAGCGUUGUCCGGAAUCAUUGGGCGUAAAGAGCGUGUAGGCGGCCAGAAAAGUCCGCUGUGAAAACUCGAGGCUCAACUUCGAGCUGUCGGUGGAAACUUUCUGGCUAGAGUCCGGAAGAGGAGAAUGGAAUUCCUGGUGUAGCGGUGAAAUGCGCAGAUAUCAGGAAGAACACCCGUGGCGAAGGCGGUUCUCUGGGACGGUACUGACGCUGAGACGCGAAAGCGUGGGGAGCGAACAGGAUUAGAUACCCGCGUAGUCC
rnacentral:rRNA from 1 species